ensembl:snoRNA
GUAAAAUGAUGAAUGUGUUUAUCCAUUCGCAGAGUGCAGCCUGCCACUCACCCCACAGCACACAGUUCUGUUUUACACUCUGGGUGUCGUGCAUCCAUCUUGUACCAACUGGUCAAUCGGUGUUUUACUGAGGGGCUGUUGGUCCCUGUUUGGGUGCCUGUGGGUAUGAGGGGGUUUGGCAGAGUUCGACCCUUCUAGGAUCCAACUCAACAAAGAUGAUUGAUGCAAUCUGAUUAC